AUGUGUUUGCAGGAAACGCGUAGAAACCUAUCUCCAACCUUCAAUCUACCACAGGGGUCUCAAACUCAAUUUACCUGGGGGGCUGUUGAAGGCAGAGUCUGGGUGAGACCGGGGGUGCCAGGAGAGAAAGAGAGCCAGAGAGCCGCUUCCCUGGAAGAGGCGGCAGUGGCGGCAGCUGCUGUUGGCGGCUUGGAGGUGCUCUUCGAGGAUGGGCCGGGAGCAAGGUCCACUCUCAGGCCUCACUCGGUGGUGGCUCAGAUGCUCGGGGAAGAGGGACGGCAGCAUACCUAGACUGCCGGCUCUCCCCCAGAACAGCGCCUCUUGCACCCUCAAUAUGGAAGUGAAGCCUGCCAACUGGCAGACAGGUGGGCUGGCUGGCAGGUUGCAGUUCCAGAGGGAGGGUGCAAGAGGCGCUGUCUUGGGAGAGAGCUGGUGAGCGAGGAGAGGCUUUUUUUGACUCUUGACAGCAGAGGACAUGUGGUCCUUUGGGGGGGGGCAGGCAAGUCGGGGGCCACAAACUAUCAUCCGGCGGGCCGCAAAUGGCCCCUGGGCCACAUGUUUGAGACCCCUGAUCUACCAGGAUACUCGGCAAAAGAUACGAAAGUUGCUAUUUCGGAAAAGAAGCACCGCAGACCGAAAACACAGAGGGAAACAGCCAAGAUAACAUUUUAAAGAAACGACAGACACCCAUCAAAGUGGACUGAAUAUAAGCCAAGGUUUCUCAAGUCAUUACCAAAUGUAAUAUUUAUGCUGUUAUCUACUGUUAUUUUCCUUCACAACUACCAGACCUGUCUUUCCUUACAAGGCUCAAAGGUAAAAACUGUUGAUAUUCCCUAUACUAAAACAGAUGGUUCCUCUACUAUUGUCUUUUACUUUUACUUUUACUUCUAUAUUUCCUCCCCCCUCUUCCCCCCCAGGAUUUUUGACUGGUACCUUCCCCCUGGUUUGCUCUUGCCUGGUUAUCUGCUUUCUGUCUCCUGUGGGAAUGUUUACAAUAGAACUUAAUGCCAAACAUAGGCCAUAAAUUACUGCACUGAAAUGUACCCUCACACACAGGAUUCUUAAAGCCAAUGAAUGUUUUGAAUGUUGUGCUUGCCAUUUCUGUAUUUCAUUCUGCAUUUCUUUCCGCCCCCUGCCCCUAUAUGUCGGAAGAAGUGGACGUGAUCCACAAAAGCUCACAUUAAAAUAUAACACUUAAGGUGCCACAUGCUUCUGUCUUUGCUUUAUUUCUUUGGAUUUUGCCUGAUACCCUUCUAUCAAGAUGCCUGCAUUUUCCUAAAGACCCAUGCAC
rnacentral:lncRNA from 1 species